rnacentral:rRNA from 1 species
GCGAACGGACGAGAAGCUUGCUUCUCUGAUGUUAGCGGCGGACGGGUGAGUAACACGUGGAUAACCUACCUAUAAGACUGGGAUAACUUCGGGAAACCGGAGCUAAUACCGGAUAAUAUUUUGAACCGCAUGGUUCAAAAGUGAAAGACGGUCUUGCUGUCACUUAUAGAUGGAUCCGCGCUGCAUUAGCUAGUUGGUAAGGUAACGGCUUACCAAGGCAACGAUGCAUAGCCGACCUGAGAGGGUGAUCGGCCACACUGGAACUGAGACACGGUCCAGACUCCUACGGGAGGCAGCAGUAGGGAAUCUUCCGCAAUGGGCGAAAGCCUGACGGAGCAACGCCGCGUGAGUGAUGAAGGUCUUCGGAUCGUAAAACUCUGUUAUUAGGGAAGAACAUAUGUGUAAGUAACUGUGCACAUCUUGACGGUACCUAAUCAGAAAGCCACGGCUAACUACGUGCCAGCAGCCGCGGUAAUACGUAGGUGGCAAGCGUUAUCCGGAAUUAUUGGGCGUAAAGCGCGCGUAGGCGGUUUUUUAAGUCUGAUGUGAAAGCCCACGGCUCAACCGUGGAGGGUCAUUGGAAACUGGAAAACUUGAGUGCAGAAGAGGAAAGUGGAAUUCCAUGUGUAGCGGUGAAAUGCGCAGAGAUAUGGAGGAACACCAGUGGCGAAGGCGACUUUCUGGUCUGUAACUGACGCUGAUGUGCGAAAGCGUGGGGAUCAAACAGGAUUAGAUACCCUGGUAGUCCACGCCGUA